ACGUAGGAGACGAGCGUUAUCCGGAUUUACUGGGCGUAAAGCGCGUGCAGGCGGUUUUUUAAGUCACUUGUGAAAGCUCCCAGGCUUAACCGGGAGAGGACGUGCGAGACUGUGGUUCUGGAGGCAGGCAGAGGCAGGUGGAAUUCCGGGUGGAGUGGUGAAAUGCGUAGAGAUGUGGAGGAACACCGAUGGCGAAGGCAGCCCCCUGGGCCGAUACUGACGCUCAUGCACGAAAGCGUGUGGAGCAAACAG
rnacentral:rRNA from 1 species